GUGGUAAUGCCGGAUGCUCCAUCACACCGCAUGGUGUGUUGGGAAAGCCUUUGCGGCAUGGGAUGGGGUCGCGUCCUAUCAGCUUGAUGGCGGGGUAACGGCCCACCAUGGCUUCGACGGGUAGCCGGCCUGAGAGGGCGACCGGCCACAUUGGGACUGAGAUACGGCCCAGACUCCUACGGGAGGCAGCAGUGGGGAAUAUUGCACAAUGGGCGCAAGCCUGAUGCAGCGACGCCGCGUGAGGGAUGGAGGCCUUCGGGUUGUAAACCUCUUUUAUCAGGGAGCAAGGCUUCGGUUGAGUGUACCUGUUGAAUAAGCACCGGCUAACUACGUGCCAGCAGCCGCGGUAAUACGUAGGGUGCAAGCGUUAUCCGGAAUUAUUGGGCGUAAAGGGCUCGUAGGCGGUUCGUCGCGUCCGGUGUGAAAGUCCAUCGCUUAACGGUGGAUCCGCGCCGGGUACGGGCGGGCUUGAGUGCGGUAGGGGAGACUGGAAUUCCCGGUGUAACGGUGGAAUGUGUAGAUAU
rnacentral:rRNA from 1 species